rnacentral:rRNA from 1 species
CACCUACGGGAGGCUGCAGUGAGGAAUAUUGGACAAUGGGUGCAAGCCUGAUCCAGCCAUCCCGCGUGAAGGAUUAAGGUCCUAUGGAUUGUAAACUUCUUUUAUACAGGGAUAAACCUCUCCUCGUGAGGAGAGCUGAAGGUACUGUAUGAAUAAGCACCGGCUAACUCCGUGCCAGCAGCCGCGGUAAUACGGAGGGUGCAAGCGUUAUCCGGAUUUAUUGGGUUUAAAGGGUCCGUAGGCGGGCCGAUAAGUCAGUGGUGAAAUCUCGCAGCUUAACUGUGAAACUGCCAUUGAUACUGUCGGUCUUGAGUAAAUUUGAAGUGGCUGGAAUAAGUAGUGUAGCGGUGAAAUGCAUAGAUAUUACUUAGAACACCAAUUGCGAAGGCAGGUCACUAAGAUUUAACUGACGCUGAUGGACGAAAGCGUGGGUAGCGAACAGGAUUAGAUACCCUGGUAGUCCACGCCGUAAACGAUGCUAACUCGUUUUUGGGCACUUGUGCUCAGAGACCAAGCGAAAGUGAUAAGUAGCC